AUCCGGAGGGUGCAAGCGUUACUCGGAAUCACUGGGCGUAAAGCGCGCGCAGGCGGCUUGAUAAGUUGGAUGUGAAAGCCUACGGCUCAACCGUAGAACUGCAUCCAAAACUGUCAAGCUAGAGUCUGGGAGGGGAAGAUGGAAUUAGUUGUGUAGGGGUAAAAUCCGUAGAGAUAACUAGGAAUACCAAAAGCGAAGGCGAUCUUCUGGAACAGUACUGACGCUGAGGCGCGAAGCGUGGGGAGCAAACAGGAUUAGAAACCCGAGUAGUCC
rnacentral:rRNA from 1 species